GGCUGGAGCGGUCCCACUGACCCUCCAGCAGACGACGAAGGCUGGAGCGGUCCCUCGGACCCUCCAGCGAAGGCGGAUGAAGGCUGGAGCGGUCCCACGGACCCUCCAGCGACGACAAAGGCUGGGGCGGUCCCCGGACCCCCCAGCGAAGGCAAUCCCGGACGAGCCCCCAUAUGUUACACCCCGGCCUAGGCAACCGGAGUGCAACACGAAAAAAAGUAAAAAUAAAGAAAAAAAAACACACAAAAAACCCCCACUAAAGCUCACCACCAAAAUCCCAAAACGAAAGUAUCGACAAAUCUAUUUUACAGCUAUUUACAACAAACUAUUUAUUUACAACAAAACACCAAACUAUUUAC
ensembl:lncRNA